GACGGGUCACUGAUUCAAUUUGCCGGCGCCAUAGGACUGGCACGUUUCCAUCGUAUUAGUGAACAAGGAAUUAAUCCCUGAUCAUACUUUCCGAUUUGCUCCCAAGUUGACAGAGAAUAAAGGUUAGUCACUUUAACUGGAAGGGCACUUCUCCGCCCCUAUAUUAUUAUUCUGCUCUUCUGGGAUACCUCGAAAUUGGCAUAUUAAAUCAAAAUUGUCGUUUGUCAGAUGACUGAUGUUUUAUAAUUUUCAAUUUAAUAUCCAAAGCCAACCCCACUGGAGCCUCUUAUUUUAUUGGAGGCUUACUAAUAUUGGAUCCGAUUGUUCGGUUUCAUAUCUGUUAUUAGAAUAACUGGGUUUGAUUAAACUAGUUGCCUGGUUCAAUGGGAUCCCUAUUGUCGCGUUAGGAUAAGUUCUCAGGUAUAGCUGUUAAUCCCAAAUGCUGGAGCUACAACCUAGUCCUGUAGGGUUAC
rnacentral:rRNA from 1 species